rnacentral:lncRNA from 1 species
UUGUCCUCAAGCAAAUAAACAUAGUCAAAUAAGCUUUCUCACUCUAGAUCCUUAUUUCCACUUAAGCUCUUACUCUAGACCCCUAUUUUGAAUCAUUGCAGUGAAGAAUAUAUGCAUGAAGAUUACUCACCUUCUUUCCUCGUUUCCCUCUGCUUACCAUGGCUAGGAUUUGUUUUCCUCAAGAGAGGCCAUACAUGCACAUUUAUUUGUUAAGACUUUUUCUAGCUUUUGGUGUGACUUGCCCUUACCUUGAAGUACUUGAUUCAGGCUUUUUGCACUUUAG